CAGCAGCCGCGGGAAUACGGAGGGAGCUAGCGUUGUUCGGAAUUACUGGGCGUAAAGCGCACGUAGGCGGUUAUUUAAGUCAGAGGUGAAAGCCCAGUGCUCAACACUGGAACUGCCUUUGAAACUAGAUAACUCGAAUCCAGGAGAGGUGAGCGGAAUUCCGAGUGUAGAGGUGAAAUUCGUAGAUAUAUGGAGGAACACCGGUGGCGAAAGCGGCUCUCUGGUCUGUCACUGACGCUGAGGCUCGAAAGCGUGGGUAGCGAACAGGAUUAGAUACCCCCGUAGUCCCUGUCUCUUAUAC
rnacentral:rRNA from 1 species